GUUUGGAUCAACUUUGUGCACAAGAUAAAAUUAUGGUGAGUGAGGGGGAGGUCUACAGUAUAGAUUUAUAACACAACUGGUCGGUAUACUGCACCACGAGUC
rnacentral:ribozyme from 1 species